UUUGAGGUCUAUCCCGAUGGCACUUUGAUGUAAGUUCAUAUCGUUGGAAACGCCUCAUAGAUUAAAUUUGUAGUUGCUUUGCCUCCGAAAACGCUGUGUUUAGUGGGUUAGAACUACAUAACAAAG